rnacentral:rRNA from 1 species
AGCGAACGUUAGCGGCGCGCCUAACACAUGCAAGUCGCACGAGAAAGGGCUUCGGCCCCGGUAAAGUGGCGCACGGGUGAGUAACACGUGGGCAACCUGCCCAACCCUGGGGGAUAACCUGCCGAAAGGCGGGCUAAUACCGCGUACGAGGGCUCGACUUCGGUCGGGUUCUGAAAGCAGGCCUCUGUAUACAAGCUUGUGGGGUUGGAUGGGCCCGCGCUCCAUCAGCUAGUUGGUGAGGUAACGGCUCACCAAGGCUACGACGGAUAGCUGGUAUGAGAGGAUGAUCAGCCACACUGGAACUGAGACACGGUCCAGACUCCUACGGGAGGCAGCAGUGGGGAGUCUUGCGCAAUGGACGAAAGUCUGACGCAGCGACGCCGCGUGGGUGACGAAGGCCUUCGGGUUGUAAAGCCCUGUGGGGUGAGACGAACAGCUGGGAUUCGAAUAGGGUCUUGGUCUGACGGUAUCACCUUAGCAAGCACCGGCUAACUCUGUGCCAGCCGCCGCCGUAAGAC